GGCGCACGUGACCAAUGGCUUCAACUUCCACUCUAAACUCUUUUUCCGCUUGGCCCACAUUAUUCAGAAUCUUUUUCACCGCCACUGGAGUGCCAUUGAUCAAUUGUCCCUGAUAAACAACUCCAUAUCCACCCUCCCCAAGGACAUUGUCCUUCGAAAACCGUUUUGUUGCCAGCUCAAGAUCCCUCAAUGUGAACCAGUGACCCCAACCCAAGUGCGAGAACUCUGGCAGGCCACUUAGAGGAGAAGGAGCAGUAAUAGGAUAUGAAGAAGAAGGCUUGUAUACCGUUACUGU
rnacentral:misc_RNA from 1 species